CACAUGAAUAUCAACGUUCUAUUUAUCAUCAUUGAUAAUACAUUCAUUGUCAAAGAUGUUUUCAAGUUUAAUGCACAUCUUAUUAAUAUAAGUUAUAAGUCGGUAUACUAGGUGAGCUGUGCCGCCAAGAAGGACAACCGUCGUGCUCAAUUUCAUUCGAUCGACUCUUGCCAGCGAUCCUCAAAACCGAAACUAUUGGAUACGUAUAUCUUCUUAUCUUUUUGAUUCGUCAGUUGGCUAUUUGGAUACAUAAGCUAUGGCGCAAGAACAAGCAACAGAAGCCCUAGCCAAGCUCUGCGUUGGAACAGUCGUGACCAACCCGUGCAUGAUCAACGACUUCCUGAGGAAAGCUACCGAAAAAUCCGACCAGCAGCACAACCUCGUCGCCGGGCACGUAACUGCCGAUGACCAAAUUCUCUACAAAGACACAGAACAAGUCAACGCAGUCUUCCUCGGAAGUGCCGAGCAUAAUUUCCAGUAUUUCGGCCCGAAAGGCGAGGUGAUCACGUGCGUGGCCCUGUUAGAUAGGUUUACUGACGGACUGGGCGGUGAGGCGACCUUGACUCACGGAGGCGUCGGACAUAACCAUGUCGUUUCCAAUGUUGUCAGCAGGUUUUCGCGAGAUUGCUGUUUUACUAUGGUUGUCUGGGGCAAGGAACAAUGCCAGUAGAUUCAUGUCAGUUUAGGCCUAACAACCCCAUCGAAGCUGUUUAAUGGGGGUCGACGCUAUCAGGAUUUGCUCUGAUGACCAUUUAAUUGAGGGCUUCGAUAGGCUGUGUAUCGGGCUCGGCGUGAAUUCUUUUCACUGCAAGGUAAGGGGCAAAAUAACGCUAUCUUUAUAAUGGUGUAGGUGAUCUGUCAACUGAUCACUUUGAUUUUCGUCCUGAGCCAGUGAUUUUGACUUUAUUUCGUAAAAAUAUACUUUGUAACACAAAAAGAUAGCCCACAUUUGAUUUUGUUAAGUACAGGUGCGCUCUUGCAUUAAGCGCAUGGAUCAUGGCUGUUUAUUUCAAGAGGUGACGUUCAGAUGGAGUGAUGUUACUGUUAGUACUUCUAAUUCUUCCUUACUGUGAAGCCGUUUGUAGUUGUGUCGAUAUCCCGAAGAUGUCAUUCUCUGUGAUAAUUAUAUAUUCGAUACUGAUUAUUUUAGCACACAUGUUAUGGUUCAAUAAACAUAUUAAUUGA